AUGUCCCAGUGUUCUGCUGUUAGAAUACACAGAAGUGAGAAUGAGCCAAAGAACCAGAAGCCAACCAGAAAAACGAGAGCUGUGAGUUCUGCGCCAACACCUCCAGAAGGGCCUUGGUACUACUUGAAGGACUUCUCCAAGGACAGAAGAUUCUUUCUAUCUCAUAAAAAAGCUGGAUGCCCCCGAAGGACGAAAGAGUUCAGGAAGGAUUUAAGAAGGAU
rnacentral:lncRNA from 12 species